GUGGGGAAUUUUGGACAAUGGGCGCAAGCCUGAUCCAGCAAUGCCGCGUGCAGGAAGAAGGCCUUCGGGUUGUAAACUGCUUUUGUACGGAACGAAACGGUCCGGGUUAAUACCCUGGGCUAAUGACGGUACCGUAAGAAUAAGCACCGGCUAACUACGUGCCAGCAGCCGCGGUAAUACGUAGGGUGCAAGCGUUAAUCGGAAUUACUGGGCGUAAAGCGUGCGCAGGCGGUUUUGUAAGACAGGCGUGAAAUCCCCGGGCUCAACCUGGGAAUUGCGCUUGUGACUGCAAGGCUGGAGUGCGGCAGAGGGGGAUGGAAUUCCGCGUGUAGCGGUGAAAUGCGUAGAUAUGCGGAGGAACACCGAUGGCGAAGGCAAUCCCCUGGACCUGUACUGACGCUCAUGCACGAAAGCGUGGGGAGCAAACAGGAUUAGAUACCCGGGUAGUCC
rnacentral:rRNA from 1 species